rnacentral:rRNA from 1 species
AUUGAACGCUGGCGGCAUGCCCUACACAUGCAAGUCGAACGGUAACAGGUCUUCGGAUGCUGACGAGUGGCGAACGGGUGAGUAAUACAUCGGAACGUGCCUAGUAGUGGGGGAUAACUACUCGAAAGCGUGGCUAAUACCGCAUGAGAUCUAAGGAUGAAAGCAGGGGAUCGCAAGACCUUGUGCUACUAGAGCGGCCGAUGGCAGAUUAGGUAGUUGGUGGGAUAAAAGCUUACCAAGCCGACGAUCUGUAGCUGGUCUGAGAGGACGAUCAGCCACACUGGGACUGAGACACGGCCCAGACUCCUACGGGAGGCAGCAGUGGGGAAUUUUGGACAAUGGGCGCAAGCCUGAUCCAGCAAUGCCGCGUGCAGGAUGAAGGCCUUCGGGUUGUAAACUGCUUUUGUACGGAACGAAAAGCCCUGGGUUAAUACCCUGGGGUCAUGACGGUACCGUAAGAAUAAGCACCGGCUAACUACGUGCCAGCCGCCGCAGUAAAAC